rnacentral:lncRNA from 1 species
ACCCAGUUGCUCGAUCACCCAUGCGUCGUCAUUCUUCCCAGCGAACUUAGGCGGAUCAAAUUUUCGGAACUGGGCCAACUUCGCCCAUAUGCGAUCGCCCUCCGCUGCAGAGGUAUUAGCACCCCCAGCGAAAACCGUCGUGGUAGUCGUCGUCGCCGUGCCAGUCGGAGCCGUGACCGGUGGAGGUAUCACCGGAGUGUCCGCAGUAACUGGAGCCGGCUGUGUCGGAGGUGGAGCCGGGGGAGCAGCAGCUACAGUCUGGCGCUGUAAAAACUGCUGGAA